rnacentral:rRNA from 1 species
UGGUAGUAUGGAGGCGGGCUGGACCUCUCGGGGUUACAGCCUUGCUGAAUUAUUCACCCUUGUCUUUUGCGUACUUCUUGUUUCCUUGGUGGGUUCGCCCACCACUAGGACAAACAUAAACCUUUUGUAAUUGCAAUCAGCGUCAGUAACAAAUUAAUAAUUACAACUUUCAACAACGGAUCUCUUGGUUCUGGCAUCGAUGAAGAACGCAGCGAAAUGCGAUAAGUAGUGUGAAUUGCAGAAUUCAGUGAAUCAUCGAAUCUUUGAACGCACAUUGCGCCCUUUGGUAUUCCAAAGGGCAUGCCUGUUCGAGCGUCAUUUGUACCCUCAAGCUUUGCUUGGUGUUGGGCGUCUUGUCUCUAGCUUUGCUGGAGACUCGCCUUAAAGUAAUUGGCAGCCGGCCUACUGGUUUCGGAGCGCAGCACAAGUCGCACUCUCUAUCAGCAAAGGUCUAGCAUCCAUUAAGCCUUUUUUUCAACUUUUGACCUCGGAUCAGGUAGGGAUA